rnacentral:rRNA from 1 species
CGGAGGACGGGUGAGUAACGCGUGGGUGACCUGCCCCAUACCGGGGGAUAACAGCUGGAAACGGCUGCUAAUACCGCAUAAGCGCACAGAGCUGCAUGGCUCGGUGUGAAAAACUCCGGUGGUAUGGGAUGGGCCCGCGUCUGAUUAGGCAGUUGGCGGGGUAACGGCCCACCAAACCGACGAUCAGUAGCCGGCCUGAGAGGGCGACCGGCCACAUUGGGACUGAGACACGGCCCAA